AUGGUUUUCAACAGUCAGCAUUUCUCUGCAUGGACAUGCUGUUCCGAAGAGAAGCUGACUCUGAAGCACUUCUUCUACGGGCAGAAAAUUUGGGCGCCACACAGUUGCCUAUGUUUGCCUUAUUCCUUCGGUUUCUUUCUUCUUUCUUCCUUCGUUCAUUUGUUGCCGUUGUCUUCGUUUCUGUUCUGUCCCCAGUUUGCUGGACUGUUUGGUCCAUGCGGUCUCUGUAACACUAGGCCUUUUUGCCUCUCAUGGCUGGCGAUCUUGCUCUCUUCGGCGAGCUCGAGAGUGGUGAUCAACGGGUGUGCGGGAGAGAAGUUCAUGCAUGCGUGUGGGCUGCGGCAAGGGGAAUCCCUCUCCCCAAUGUUGUUCGUUAUUGCGAUGGAUGUUUUGACAGCGAUUGUGGUGAAGGCUCAUGACUCUCAAGUCCUAAGUAAGAUGAACUGCUGCAGCCCAUUGCAACGUCUAUCUCUUUAUGCGGACGAUGUGGUGAUGUUUAUCAAACCCUCAAGGACAGACAUUAGAUUGGUGGAGGAGGUCCUGCAGAUCUUUGGUGAAGCUUCUGGACUCAAAAUCAACUUUGCAAAAUCCUCGGCCAUUCUGAUCAGGGCCGAGGAGGGAGAUGAAGAACUAGUAAGAAGUGCAAUGCCCUGGAAGAUUGACCGGUUCCGUGCAAAUACUUGGGUUUGCAGCUGA
rnacentral:rRNA from 1 species